rnacentral:rRNA from 1 species
GGGACAGCCUCGGGAAACCGUGGGUAAUACCGGAUACUCCGGGACGGCCGCAUGGCCGGCCCGGGAAAGCCCAGACGGGAGGGGAUGGGCCCGCGGCCUGUUAGCUAGUCGGCGGGGUAACGGCCCACCGAGGCGAUUAUGGGUAGCCGGGUUGAGAGACCGACCGGCCAGAUUGGGACUGAGACACGGCCCAGACUCCUACGGGAGGCAGCAGUGGGGAAUCUUGCGCAAUGGGCGGAAGCCUGACGCAGCGACGCCGCGUGCGGGACGAAGGCCUUCGGGUCGUAAACCGCUUUCAGCAGGGACGAGGCCCUCACGGUGACGGUACCUGCAGAAGAAGCCCCGGCUAACUACGUGCCAGCAGCCGCGGUAACACGUAGGGGGCGAGCGUUAUCCGGAUUCAUUGGGCGUAAAGCGCGCGUAGGCGGCCUGUUAGGUCGGGGGUCAAAUACCGGGGCUCAACCCCGGUCCGCCCCCGAUACCGGCAGGCUUGAGUCUGGUAGGGGAAGGCGGAAUUCCCAGUGUAGCGGUGGAAUGCGCAGAUAUUGGGAAGAACACCGGCGGCGAAGGCGGCCUUCUGGGCCACGACUGACGCUGAGGCGCGAAAGCUAGGGGAGCGAACAGGAUUAGAUACCCUGGUAGUCCUAGCCGUAAAC